rnacentral:rRNA from 1 species
GCUCGUAGUUGGAUCUAGUGUGCCGGGCGCCGGUCCGCCGCAAGGCGUGCACUGGCGUUCGACCUCUCUUUGUCGGUUCUCGGUCGGUGCUCUUGACUGAGUGUCUGCCGUGGCCGGCGGUUUUACUUUGAAAAAAUUAGAGUGUUUAAAGCAGGCUAGUCGCCUGUAUAUUCGUGCAUGGAAUAAUGGAAUAGGACCUCGAGUCUGUUUUUGUUGGGUUUAUGACUCGAGGUAAUGAUUAAGAGGGACAGACGGGGGCAUCCGUACUCUGCCGUUAGAGGUGAAAUUCUUGGAUCGGCGGAAGACGAACUAUUGCGAAAGCAUUUGCCAAGAAUGUUUUCUUUAAUCAAGAGCGAAAGUCAGAGGUUCGAAGACGAUCAGAUACCGUCCUAGUUCUGACCAUAAACGAUGCCAACUAGCGAUCCGCCGACGUUACCAUGACGACUCGGCGGGGAGCUCCCGGGAAACCAAAGUCUUUGGGUUCCGGGGGAAGUAUGGUUGCAAAGCUGAAACUUAAAGGAAUUGACGGAAGGGCACCACCAGGAGUGGAGCCUGCGGCUUAAUUUGACUCAACACGGGGAAACUCACCCGGCCCGGACACAGGUAGGAUUGACAGAUUGAGGGCUCUUUCUUGAUUCUGUGGGUGGUGGUGCAUGGCCGUUCUUAGUUGGUGGAGCGAUUUGUCUGGUUAAUUCCGAUAACGAACGAGACUCUAUUCUGCUAAAUAGUUACGCGACCCUGUCGGUCGGCGUUGUUAAACUUCUUAGAGAGACUAGUGGCGUUUAGCCACACGAGAUUGAGCAAUAACAGGUCUGUGAUGCCCUUAGAUGUCCGGGGCUGCACGCGCGCUACAAUGAAUAAAGCAGCGUGUCUGUUACCUUGGCCGAAAGGUCUGGGAAACCCCGAAAAUUUAUUCGUGCUAGGGAUAGAGAUCUGGAAUCCUCUCUUGAACGAGGAAUUCCCAG